GCAAAGAAUAGUUAAACCAGAAUACUAGCUUUGGGAGCUAGAGAUGGGAGUUAGACCCUCUCUUCUUUG
rnacentral:tRNA from 1 species